UAUAUCCGUAAAAUCGAAAUGCCGAUAUUUUCAUAAUUGGUUUUCACAAACCUGUCUUAAAAAAUUAAAAAAUAUCCUUGCUAUGGAAUAAGUGGCGACUCCAUUAUUUAAAAAAUUAUUUUUUCACACAUCGAGUGGGAAUGCAUGUGAAAAUGCGGGAUCGCAUUUGGCCUAUGUGUACAUAUCCUUGCUUCACUCAAAACCUAGAAAAGUUGAACUUCAGUUGAAUCUCCCAUAUUGAUGGCCUAGUGAGCACACAAACAGAGCAUAUUUAAAACAACUUGUUGCUCAAGGCCUUGGCUCAUUGAGUUUUGUUCUAAUGUUUCAAUUAUUUGUGGUUUUUUUCAGUAACAAACAACAAAAAUCAGUGUUUGAAUUAAAUUUAAGGUUGGAGGUCAAACAAGCAGCAGAGGGAACCCAAGAAGUCCCAGGACUAGGUUAAGCUCGUGUUUAUGGCAUAGAUGAAGUGUGGGGACUGCUUCAAUCUGGCAGCUGAAUUAGAUCUGUUGGAUCCACUAAUGCUAAAGAGCUCAUCAGCUGCUCUCACUGCAAAACGUAAUGAAGAAAUUGUGAGGUUUCUCAUUCAACAUGGAGCCAACACUAACUGCAUAGAUAAUUUUUGAAAAUUCACCUCUUUUUGAGGCUGUCAAGGCUGGGCAUGAUAGCAUUGCUUUGCUUCUCAUCAAGCAUGGCUCAACCUUGAAUUUGGAAGAUGCUGGAUGGUACCUUUGUAAGGCUGUAAUGGAUAGCAACAUUGAUUUAUUAAAGCGUUUGUUGGAGAAUGGAGUUAACCCAAACUCAAGGAACUAUGACCUACAAACACCUCUACAUUUUGCAGCAGCAGAAGGUUUGCACCUUGUGGCAAAUAUCUUGAUCAAACUUGGAGCAGAUGUUCUAUCCAAAGACAGGGUUCUUGGAAGCUCUCAGGUUGGUAAAAGCUGUCAUUCAGAAAAAGCCCUUUCAACUGAUGAGAUGGCUCCAGCUUCUCAAUUGGGAGGGAGAAAUGAUUGAAGAACAAUGUGGGGACAUUCCUUCAGUAGGAUUUGAAAAUUUGUGCUCUAUGUUUAAUCAACACAAAGACAAGGCAAAAGUUGCUUUCAUGCACAUUAAGUCAAAAUUCUGUUGUGAGGUGGUAUUUGAGGAUGUAAUAGACAGCUAUGGGAUGGUGCUUGAGAAGUACAAGAAGACCAGAAAGCAAUAUAUGAAUGGGAUGCUUUCACAGUAAAGGACAAUAGAUGUGAAGAUCGUUGUCUUG